rnacentral:rRNA from 2 species
GAUGUUAGCGGCGGACGGGUGAGUAACACGUGGGUAACCUGCCUGUAAGACUGGGAUAACUCCGGGAAACCGGGGCUAAUACCGGAUGCUURUUUGAACCGCAUGGUUCAAAUAUAAAAGGUGGCUUCGGCUACCACUUACAGAUGGACCCGCGGCGCAUUAGCUAGUUGGUGAGGUAACGGCUCACCAAGGCAACGAUGCGUAGCCGACCUGAGAGGGUGAUCGGCCACACUGGGACUGAGACACGGCCCAGACUCCUACGGGAGGCAGCAGUAGGGAAUCUUCCGCAAUGGACGAAAGUCUGACGGAGCAACGCCGCGUGAGUGAUGAAGGUUUUCGGAUCGUAAAGCUCUGUUGUUAGGGAAGAACAAGUACCGUUCGAAUAGGGCGGUACCUUGACGGUACCUAACCAGAAAGCCACGGCUAACUACGUGCCAGCAGCCGCGGUAAUACGUAGGUGGCAAGCGUUGUCCGGAAUUAUUGGGCGUAAAGGGCUCGCAGGCGGUUUCUUAAGUCUGAUGUGAAAGCCCCCGGCUCAACCGGGGAGGGUCAUUGGAAACUGGGGAACUUGAGUGCAGAAGAGGAGAGUGGAAUUCCACGUGUAGCGGUGAAAUGCGUAGAGAUGUGGAGGAACACCAGUGGCGAAGGCGACUCUCUGGUCUGUAACUGACGCUGAGGAGCGAAAGCGUGGGGAGCGAACAGGAUUAGAUACCCUGGUAGUCCACGCCGUAAACGAUGAGUGCUAAGUGUUA